UGGGGAAUAUUGGACAAUGGGCGGAAGCCUGAUCCAGCAACGCCGCGUGAGGGAUGACGGCCUUCGGGUUGUAAACCUCUUUCAUCAUCGACGAAGCUCCAUGUUGAUUGGGGUGACGGUAGGUGGAGAAGAAGCACCGGCCAACUACGUGCCAGCAGCCGCGGUAAUACGUAGGGUGCGAGCGUUGUCCGGAAUCACUGGGCGUAAGGGGCGCGUAGGCGGCCUGAUAAGUAGGGGUGAAAUCCUGCGGCUUAACCGCAGGGCUGCCUUCUAAACUGUCAGGCUAGAGCACAGUAGAGGCAGGUGGAAUUCCCGGUGUAGCGGUGGAAUGCGUAGAGAUCGGGAAGAACAUCAGUGGCGAAGGCGGCCUGCUGGGCUGUUGCUGACGCUGAGGCGCGACAGCGUGGGGAGCAAACAGGAUUAGAUACC
rnacentral:rRNA from 1 species